UAGCUAAUACCGCAUAACGUCGCAAGACCAAAGAGGGGGACCUUCGGGCCUCUUGCCAUCGGAUGUGCCCAGAUGGGAUUAGCUAGUAGGUGGGGUAACGGCUCACCUAGGCGACGAUCCCUAGCUGGUCUGAGAGGAUGACCAGCCACACUGGAACUGAGACACGGUCCAGACUCCUACGGGAGGCAGCAGUGGGGAAUAUUGCACAAUGGGCGCAAGCCUGAUGCAGCCAUGCCGCGUGUAUGAAGAAGGCCUUCGGGUUGUAAAGUACUUUCAGCGGGGAGGAAGGGAGUAAAGUUAAUACCUUUGCUCAUUGACGUUACCCGCAGAAGAAGCACCGGCUAACUCCGUGCCAGCAGCCGCGGUAAUACGGAGGGUGCAAGCGUUAAUCGGAAUUACUGGGCGUAAAGCGCACGCAGGCGGUUUGUUAAGUCAGAUGUGAAAUCCCCGGGCUCAACCUGGGAACUGCAUCUGAUACUGG
rnacentral:rRNA from 1 species